GAGUUUGAUAAAGAGGUAUUUUUUAUGACUUCAGUUUCGGCAUCAAUAGUUGGAAGCGUUUUGUCUAGUAGGAGAUGGUCAAAUGCAUCAACGGUGUCAACCCCUAUAUCAUUUGAUUGAUUCUCAACUUUGAAAGCAUUUUUGGGCUCAACCUUUUGGGUUUUAUUAUUUUUCUCUCCUUUAACCUGAUUUUUAUUUGCCGGAGAGGAGGCACUUCGAGAUGGAAUGGAUGUAGUGGCAUACCCACGAGCAGAGUUCGAAGCUUUUGAUUUUUUUUUAGCCAUUAUUUAGAACAAAAACGGUUUUUAAAUCGGUCUUUAAAACAAAAAAAUCAGAGUCUAAUAGAAAAUGUUCAC